GGCGCAUGAGCAAUCUCGCAGCGCUUACGAGCAUUUUCGGGCCCAGUUCGACAGGCUACGUUCGGACGACGUGGUAUGAGAGCCUUACAACAUCUUGGCCGUGCAAGGGCGUGCAGGUUUGGGUUUGUCACCGUUGUGUACCUACGACGAGGAUUACUGGCUCACGAAGGCACCGCUUGUCUUCGACAUCUACGUCGAAGAAUACUCACCGCACUGCGUCAUGCGACAGUUUGGUCGUCACCAUGCAUUCCCUCUCGUCCACAUUCGUACCGUCCCCGUGCACGUCCACAGGUACACACGCAAAGGCCAGCCGGCUGGCAACCUCUGGGCAGAUUGCUUGGCCCCUUACGUGGCAGCAUGGUCCCAAGCGCUACAGGAUGUCGUGGAGGAGACCCAUCCCUACAACGACCGGAGCUUCAACGAGUACCUACAGUGGUACGUUCCACGUACACGCACAUGGGUCACCUACACCCCUGAGGAUGUCCGACCCCACAUCGCGUCGACAACGGAGGCAUACCCGAUGCAUUGGGACGAGGACGCUGCAUUAGCGGUAGAUAUCAUUUAUGAUGUACAUAAGGAUACAGCUGGUGCCAUGGACCACCUCCGGCAAGGGUAGCACCUCAGUGCGUCGGAUGUUGCGGGCCUCAUCAAGCGGGUUUUCGACAAGACCGUGCGCACCUUAAAGCUUACCUCCUGCCGAUCCACCACAGAUGUAGCAGGGGCGCCUCUCAGGUCUAGUGGUGUUCACGCCGAGUCGUCUUGGCGGUCAGAUGUGCACCGCCGUUCAUCGGUGUCGGCACCCACACGACCCCUUUUACCACGUCAUGCAGGCUCGGAGCAAAUAGGUGCUCCGACAUUCAACAAUAUUCGUUACUUACUACUGCAUUGAUUAUUAAACUUUCAUUAGGUGCACUUACACAAGCCUCGACGUAGCCUCGUAGACCAAGCCCUGUGCGUCCACCCUCAGGUUACUUCGGUGAUGAGGUCGGUCCGUCUUCAGCGGCCCCACGCUCGACCCCACCAGCAUCGUUCGAGCCAUACUACGGCACGACAAUCUGGCCUUCUUCUGCUGCACCGGCAUACCACGCCCCUCCAGCCAGUACACAUGGACGUCAGGAGAGCCUUCACAGUCCUCCUACCCUAGUAAGGAGGAUGAGGCUGGCCUAGACGCCGCAUACGAUCUCGUUCAUGACUUCUUCGGGGGCACACCUGACUACGACGUCCUCCAGCGGUCCCAGGUACCCAGUGCUCCCCUUCGGACACAGCCCACGCAGGACGAGGCCUCGACACCGGUGCUCCCUGCUAGGCCUACCAGACAGGUCGGUCCACCCGACCCCCUCACCUACUCCAGGGGCCACGUGAGGGUUAACCAGCGGCAUCGGGACUACGAUGGGGAGCACGGGCUACGGCAACGGGGGAGGCAUCAGUAGAAUUUUAGAUUUUUUGUAACUUACAUAUGCAUAUUCGUUUCGCGAUGUACUCCUACGUAUUCAGACACGUUUACUCUUUAUGGUCCACUUAGCAUGUCGUAACUGCAUUUUGUAUUCCAAAACGAUGGUAUCGUAGUUGUUUUUCUUAAUCCGACACGACCACAUGCUAUA